GGCCACACCCGCAGAAGGCAGGCUCGCGGUGUCCCCUUUUACACCGGAGACCCAAGAAGGAAGCAGAGUCCACCACGGGCUGGACAACUGCUCUCUGAUUUCAAAUCCUAUCACACUGCCGGUGGCUGGAGGACCUCUGGCCGAGCUGCCUUGCUUCUCUGGGCCUCAGGGGCCUCCACAUGAGGGGCCCGCCGCUCCCUGGGCCGCGCUCUCCACCUGCCUCGCCCACGGCCACCCCACUUCCAGGGCUCCUUGGAGAUGAGAAGCUCUGACGUCUGCACACACGUCUGCAGGCAGCAAUGUGCUGACACCAAGCAGGGCCUCCCAGGACAUGACUGUUGGCCUCAGUCCCCACCACUCCCUCAUGGCUCACAGGUGACCAACACACAUAUUCAUAUUUCUCGCUGGUGUCGGAAUCUGCGCCCCUGAAUUAAAAUAUUUAUUUUCC